rnacentral:rRNA from 1 species
CUCAGACAGCCAGGAUGUUGGCUUAGAAGCAGCCAUCAUUUAAAGAAAGCGUAAUAGCUCACUGGUCGAGUCGGCCCGCGCGGAAGAUGUAACGGGGCUAAACCAUGCACCGAAGCUGCGGCAGCGACACGUAGUGUUGUUGGGUAGGGGAGCGUUCUGUAAGCCUGCGAAGGUGUACUGUGAGGUAUGCUGGAGGUAUCAGAAGUGCGAAUGCUGACAUAAGUAACGAUAAUGCGGGUGAAAAACCCGCACGCCGGAAGACCAAGGGUUCCUGUCCAACGUUAAUCGGGGCAGGGUGAGUCGACCCCUAAGGCGAGGCUGAAAAGCGUAGUCGAUGGGAAACGGGUUAAUAUUCCCGUACUGGUGGUAACUGCGAUGGGGGAACGGAGAAGGCUAGGUUGUCCGGGCGACGGUCGUCCCGGUUCAAGCAGGUAGGCAGAGUGAUUAGGCAAAUCCGGUCACUUAAUGCUGAGAUGUGAUGACGAACCACUAAGGUGGUGAAGCAAUUGAUGCCCCGCUUCCAGGAAAAGCCUCUAAGCUUCAGGUUACCAACAAUCGUACCCCAAACCGACACAGGUGGUCAGGUAGAGAAUACUCAGGCGCUUGAGAGAACUCGGGUGAAGGAACUAGGCAAAAUGGUGCCGUAACUUCGGGAGAAGGCACGCUGGCGGUAGGUAAAGUCCCUUGCGGACGGCGCUGAAGCCAGUCGAAGAUACCAGCUGGCUGCAACUGUUUAUUAAAAACACAGCACUGUGCAAACACGAAAGUGGACGUAUACGGUGUGACGCCUGCCCGGUGCUGGAAGGUUAAUUGAUGGGGUCAGCCGUAAGGCGAAGCUCCUGAUCGAAGCCCCAGUAAACGGCGGCCGUAACUAUAACGGUCCUAAGGUAGCGAAAUUCCUUGUCGGGUAAGUUCCGACCUGCACGAAUGGCGUAAUGAUGGCCAGGCUGUCUC